AGAGUUUGAUCAUGGCUCAGGAUGAACGCUGGCGGCGUGCCUAAUACAUGCAAGUCGAGCGAACGGAUAAGGAGCUUGCUCCUUUGAAGUUAGCGGCGGACGGGUGAGUAACACGUGGGUAACCUACCUAUAAGACUGGAAUAACUUCGGGAAACCGGAGCUAAUGCCGGAUAACAUUUGGAACCGCAUGGUUCUAAAGUAAAAGAUGGUUUUGCUAUCACUUAUAGAUGGACCCGCGCCGUAUUAGCUAGUUGGUAAGGUAACGGCUUACCAAGGCAACGAUACGUAGCCGACCUGAGAGGGUGAUCGGCCACACUGGAACUGAGACACGGUCCAGACUCCUACGGGAGGCAGCAGUAGGGAAUCUUCCGCAAUGGACGAAAGUCUGACGGAGCAACGCCGCGUGAGUGAUGAAGGUUUUCGGAUCGUAAAACUCUGUUAUUAGGGAAGAACAAAUGUGUAAGUAACUGUGCACAUCUUGACGGUACCUAAUCAGAAAGCCACGGCUAACUACGUGCCAGCAGCCGCGGUAAUACGUAGGUGGCAAGCGUUAUCCGGAAUUAUUGGGCGUAAAGCGCGCGUAGGCGGUUUCUUAAGUCUGAUGUGAAAGCCCACGGCUCAACCGUGGAGGGUCAUUGGAAACUGGGAAACUUGAGUACAGAAGAGGAAAGUGGAAUUCCAUGCGUAGCGGUGAAAUGAAUCACUAGUGCGGCCGCCUGCAGGUCGACCAUAUGGGAGAGCUCCCAACGCG
rnacentral:rRNA from 1 species